rnacentral:tRNA from 5 species
AGGCGCGUAGCUCAGUGGGAGAGCACUUGCUUGACGUGCAAGGGGUCAGGAGUUCGACCCUCCUCGCGCCUACCA